rnacentral:rRNA from 1 species
UACGUAGGGGGCAAGCGUUGUCCGGAAUCAUUGGGCGUAAAGAGCGUGUAGGCGGCCAGAAAAGUCCGCUGUGAAAACUCGAGGCUCAACUUCGAGCUGUCGGUGGAAACUUUCUGGCUAGAGUCCGGAAGAGGAGAAUGGAAUUCCUGGUGUAGCGGUGAAAUGCGCAGAUAUCAGGAGGAACACCGGUGGCGAAGGCGGGGUCUCUGGGCAGUAACUGACGCUGGAGGAGCGAAAAGCGUGGGGGAGCGAACAGG